rnacentral:tRNA from 1 species
UAUANAGUGCCUGAAUAAAGGAUUAUCGUGAUAGGAUAACUUAUGUAAUAAUUCACUUUUACCUUUACUA